ensembl:lncRNA ADD3-AS1 ADD3 antisense RNA 1
UUGAAUACAGAUAAUCAUGAGGCCCAAGACCCUAAGGAACAGUGCAGCCAGGAGUCGGAAGGAGCCUGGGUUUCUGAAUCAUCACAUGGAGGGGAGCUGUCUUCAGCUGGGAGAGCUGUCUUCAGUUGGAUACUGGUGGCCGUUUGGGCAUCCUGGGCCAGCCCAAGGACAUCUUCCAGUGGCCGUUUGGGCAUCCUGGGUGGUAGCAGGUAUCUCCAUUGCACUCUAUUUGCCACCUCACCCUGAAGGAAGGUACGAGGGCCCCUUCAAACGCCAUACAAAGACCUUCCGGAGUGCCCAGUGUGCAGAUUGCCUGACAUGCGCUCUGGAACCGUGAGCCAUUUGGGAGGUGCAAGAGGAUUCCAGGAAAUGGCAGCAAGGCCUUAGAGGAGUUUAAGUAUGUACUUGGCCAGGACAAAAGUCUGUCUUCAUCUAGGCUCUAGGUGCUGACUUCUGUAACAGGGGAGCUGUUAACUUCUUCCUGGGAAUCCACCUUCUACCCCACACCCAGAAGCAGAGCACCAUCCACUCAGGCCUCCAAGUGCUCCAGGCCUUGUAUUCCACCUCUGCCUACUUUGAGCCAGCAACUGAUUUCAGCAGGAAUUCACUGAGACUGACAUCCUCUAUGCUCAGCACUGUGUGCCAAUAGUAUGGCCACACAAGUAGAUUUUUUCCUAUUUCUCUUUUCUUAGGCUAAUGGUUCAGCUCUAAAGAUAAGACUUAUGUAAGUAAAAUAAGCAGAAUAUCUAUUAACUUCGUAUUCAGUUCCUGAAGGAAUAUAAUCAAAGCAAUACAGGGAGUCGGUACAAGGUAAAGUCAAAGUCGUGUGUUCAAUAUGGUAGCCACUAGCCACAAGCACCUAUUUAAAUGUAAAUUAAAGAAAAUUAAAUGAAAUAAAAAAUGUAGUUUCUCAGUCAUACUAGGCAUAGUAGGUGCUCAACAGCCACAUGUACCUAGUGGCCACUAUACGGGAAAAUGCAAAAUUAACCUUCUCACUAGAGAAAGUCCUAUUGGACAGUAUUGGCUUGCAGUAAUAGAGGCCAACUUCAGAGUAUAGGUGUGGCUCCACCUGGGCCUGGAAGUAUAGCAGAAUUAGAUAGAAGAGGAGGGAAAGGGAAAGGGUCUUCCAGGUGGGACAAACGGUGUUCAGAGAUUGGAAUGAACCUGGCAUACCGGGCCAACACUCAGUGGGAGAGGACUAGCUGGAGUAGAACAUUCCUUUUGAGGAACUGAGAAAGGCAUCAUCACUGAUUAUAACAGGCACAGAGAAUGCAACAGAAGAGCCCAACCUCCUCCUCUCAAUUCUCAAUUGAAAUUGAGAUUGAUGGGAUUCCCGUAAUCCCACCUUUCACUUUUACUCCACCCCAUCAAGAGGACAGGGUUCUGAUUCAACCUUGGGCUUCUGAUCUUGGGGGGUGGGAGCUUGGAGUCAUAACUAAUUAUCUGCUCUAUUUGAAAACACUGCUGGGACUGGACUGUGUUGGGGACCUGAACCUGCAACCUGUGACCUUACUCCCCACUCGAGCUGGCCUUUGAACCUGCUUUGUCACUGAGAAAUGAUGAAAAGCUCAGAAGUCAGACCCACUUGAAUUCAAUUACUGGCACUUCUACUCACCAACCAAGUGCUCAUAGGCAAGUAAUUUAACUCCUCCAAACCUCAGUUUACCCAUCUACAAAAUGGGGAUGAUAAUAGCACUGGCCUCAUAGAAUAGUUAUGAUGGUUCAAUGGGAUAACAGUUGCAAGGGGCUUGGCAUAGUUCACAGCAAAAUGAAAUGAAUAAUCUAUUCAUUAUGUUAUUCCCCUAUCACACUGAAGCUGUUUGCAGGUGCACUGCUGUUAUUGUAUCUGCUUCCUUCUGAAUUAAAAAAUUUUUAAAUAUAA